rnacentral:rRNA from 1 species
CGAACGCUGGCGGCGCGUCUUAAGCAUGCAAGUCGAACGGCAAGAGGUAGCAAUACCUCCUAGAGUGGCGGACUGGUGAGUAACACGUGGGUGACAUACCCUUCAGAUGGGAUAGCUAUUAGAAAUAGUAGAUAAUACCGAAUACGAGCACAGGGGUUAGAGAUCUGUGAGGAAAGGAGCUAAGGCUCCGCUGAAGGAAUGGCCUGCGGCCCAUUAGCUAGUUGGUGAGGUAAGAGCCCACCAAGGCGAUGAUGGGUAUCCGGCCUGAGAGGGUGGACGGCCACAUUGGAACUGAGACACGGUCCAGACUCCUACGGGAGGCAGCAGCUAAGAAUCUUCCGCAAUGGGCGAAAGCCUGACGGAGCCGGCGCCGCGUGAACGAAGAAGGCCGUGAGGUUGUAAAGUUCUUUUCGGGAGGGGGAACAACCGUGGCAGGGAAUGGCCGCGGGAUGACGUGAAUCCCGGAAUAAGCCCCGGCUAACUACGUGCCAGCCGCCGC